AGAGUUUGAUCAUGGCUCAGAUUGAACGCUGGCGGCAGGCCUAACACAUGCAAGUCGAACGGUAACAGGAAGAAGCUUGCUUCUUUGCUGACGAGUGGCGGACGGGUGAGUAAUGUCUGGGAAACUGCCUGAUGGAGGGGGAUAACUACUGGAAACGGUAGCUAAUACCGCAUAACGUCGCAAGACCAAAGAGGGGGACCUUCGGGCCUCUUGCCAUCGGAUGUGCCCAGAUGGGAUUAGCUAGUAGGUGGGGUAACGGCUCACCUAGGCGACGAUCCCUAGCUGGUCUGAGAGGAUGACCAGCCACACUGGAACUGAGACACGGUCCAGACUCCUACGGGAGGCAGCAGUGGGGAAUAUUGCACAAUGGGCGCAAGCCUGAUGCAGCCAUGCCGCGUGUAUGAAGAAGGCCUUCGGGUUGUAAAGUACUUUCAGCGGGGAGGAAGGGAGUAAAGUUAAUACCUUUGCUCAUUGACGUUACCCGCAGAGGAAGCACCGGCUAACUCCGUGCCAGCAGCCGCGGUAAUACGGAGGGUGCAAGCGUUAAUCGGAAUUACUGGGCGUAAAGCGCACGCAGGCGGUUUGUUAAGUCAGAUGUGAAAUCCCCGGGCUCAACCUGGGAACUGCAUCUGAUACUGGCAAGCUUGAGUCUCGUAGAGGGGGGUAGAAUUCCAGGUGUAGCGGUGAAAUGCGUAGAGAUCUGGAGGAAUACCGGUGGCGAAGGCGGCCCCCUGGACGAAGACUGACGCUCAGGUGCGAAAGCGUGGGGAGCAAACAGGAUUAGAUACCCUGGUAGUCCACGCCGUAAACGAUGUCGACUUGGAGGUUGUGCCCUUGAGGCGUGGCUUCCGGAGCUAACGCGUUAAGUCGACCGCCUGGGGAGUACGGCCGCAAGGUUAAAACUCAAAUGAAUUGACGGGGGCCCGCACAAGCGGUGGAGCAUGUGGUUUAAUUCGAUGCAACGCGAAGAACCUUACCUGGUCUUGACAUCCACGGAAGUUUUCAGAGAUGAGAAUGUGCCUUCGGGAACCGUGAGACAGGUGCUGCAUGGCUGUCGUCAGCUCGUGUUGUGAAAUGUUGGGUUAAGUCCCGCAACGAGCGCAACCCUUAUCCUUUGUUGCCAGCGGUCCGGCCGGGAACUCAAAGGAGACUGCCAGUGAUAAACUGGAGGAAGGUGGGGAUGACGUCAAGUCAUCAUGGCCCUUACGACCAGGGCUACACACGUGCUACAAUGGCGCAUACAAAGAGAAGCGACCUCGCGAGAGCAAGCGGACCUCAUAAAGUGCGUCGUAGUCCGGAUUGGAGUCUGCAACUCGACUCCAUGAAGUCGGAAUCGCUAGUAAUCGUGGAUCAGAAUGCCACGGUGAAUACGUUCCCGGGCCUUGUACACACCGCCCGUCACACCAUGGGAGUGGGUUGCAAAAGAAGUAGGUAGCUUAACCUUCGGGAGGGCGCUUACCACUUUGUGAUUCAUGACUGGGGUGAAGUCGUAACAAGGUA
rnacentral:rRNA from 1 species